rnacentral:rRNA from 1 species
AUACGUAGGGGGCGAGCGUUGUCCGGAAUGAUUGGGCGUAAAGGGCGCGUAGGCGGCCCGGUAAGUCUGGAGUGAAAGUCCUGUUUUUAAGAUGGGAAUUGCUUUGGAUACUGUCGGGCUUGAGUGCAGGAGAGGUAAGUGGAAUUCCCAGUGUAGCGGUGAAAUGCGUAGAGAUUGGGAGGAACACCAGUGGCGAAGGCGACUUACUGGACUGUAACUGACGCUGAGGCGCGAAAGCGGGGGGAGCAAACAGGAUUAGAUACCCUGGUAGUCCCCGCCGUAAACGAUGAAUACUAGGUGUAGGGGGUAUCGACUCCCUCUGUGCCGCAGUUAACACAAUAAGUAUUCCGCCUGGGGAGUACGGCCGCAAGGUUGAAACUCAAAUGAAUUGACGGGG